CAUCUUUCAAAUGCAGGGUUUUGUUUGGAUUUCAGGUGUAUGAUCGAUGUCCGUCUCCGAUCAGUUGGGUCUUCUCGCUCGCGUUAGUUGGCUGAUGCAUUACAGGGGUGUCACCGUCUGGCCAAACACACAGGUCUUCAGGGGACACGUAGCACUCGGGGUCUUCCUCUCCAGGAGCGCGGGGCUUACACUUCCCACAGCAGCAGUUGAAGCAGCAGCACAGACAGCAGCAGAAAUAGCAGCCGGUCAGCAAGCCGCAGAUCGCGAACAGACCCUAUGCGAAAACAUGUUCACAUACAUUGCUCACAACGCAGAUAUAACAGGGUUCAGCCUCGAGAGGUAUAAAGAAAAUGAAAUAGAAGUGAGAACCCUGUACUGAAAAUUUCACCUUGGCCCACCAGCUGGAGAGCAUAAAGUACGUGUUCACGUUCUCCUCUCCGAACUGCUGCGCCACGUAGAGACCCAACGAUCCGUACUUGUCGUAAAUGUUCCUCUUUGUGAGGUCGGACAGCACGGUGUGCGCAUUGUUCAGCUCCUUGAAUUUCUCCACAGCGUCUGGGUUAUCUGGGUUCUUGUCCGGGUGAUAUUUUAGAGCAAGCUUCCUGCAGAAAUAAACGAGGCUCAAAUCAGAUGUUUCACAAAAAUAUGGGACACUUUUUUGUCACUGAAAGUUUUUUUCAGUGGGCAAAAUAGUAAUUACUCACUCACUCACUCACUGUUUUAACCUCUUAUCCAAUUAGGGUUGGGGGGGGAUGCUGGAGCCUAUCCCAGCUUUUCAAUGGGCGCAAGGCACACAGUAACACCCUGGACGGGAUGCCAGUCCAUCGCAGGGCAGACACACACACACACACACACACACACACACCCACCCCUUCACCUAUAGGGCAAUUCAGUGUCUCCAAUUAACUUGACUGCAUGUUUUUGGACUGUGGGAGUAAACCAGAGCUCUCGUAGGAAACCCACGCAGACACAGGGGAAACUCCACACAAAAAGGACCCGGACUGCCCCGCCUGAGGAUCCAACCCAGGACCUUCUUGCUGUGUGGCGACAGUGCUACCCAACUUUGGUAUUGGAAUCAGAUCGAUACUUUAGUUUACAUUCUGUAUGUCUCUCCUGUUUUAUAAGAAAAUAAAGAUCAUG